rnacentral:rRNA from 1 species
AGGUAGUGACAAGAAAUAACAAUACAAGGCAGUUAAAAUGCUUUGUAAUUGGAAUGAUAGAAAUUUAAACACUUUUUAAAGUAUCAAUUGGAGGGCAAGUCUGGUGCCAGCAGCCGCGGUAAUUCCAGCUCCAAUAGCGUAUAUUAAAAUUGUUGCAGUUAAAAAGCUCGUAGUUGAAUUUCUGUUAAAAAUAACCGGUCUGCUUUUAAUAAAAGUGGUAUCUUGGUGUGUUUUUAGCAAUAAUGUCCUUUGAAAUGUUUUUUACUUUAUUGUAAUAAAUAAUAUUCAGGAUUUUUACUUUGAGAAAAUUAGAGUGUUUCUAGCAGGCUAACGCUUUGAAUACUGCAGCAUGGAAUAAUAAAAUAGGAUUUUAGUUCUACAUUAUUGGUUUUAAGAACUAAAUUAAUGAUUGAUAGGGACAGUUGGGGGCAUUUGUAUUUAACUGUCAGAGGUGAAAUUCUUAGAUUUGUUAAAGACAAACUACUGCGAAAGCAUUUGCCAAAGAUGUUUUCAUUAAUCAAGAACGAAAGUUAGGGGAUCGAAGACGAUCAGAUACCGUCGUAGUCUUAACUAUAAACUAUGCC